rnacentral:rRNA from 1 species
UACAGAGGGGGCAAGCGUUGUUCGGAAUUACUGGGCGUAAAGGGCGCGUAGGCGGCCCGCUAAGUCGAACGUGAAAUCCCACGGCUCAACCGUGGAAGUGCACCCGAAACUGCGUAGCUAGAGUCCUGGAGAGGAAGGUGGAAUGCUUGGUGUAGAGGUGAAAUUCGUAGAUAUCAAGCGGAACACCGGUGGCGAAGGCGGCCUUCUGGACAGUGACUGACGCUGAGGUGCGAAAGCGUGGGGAGCAAACAGGG